UGGGGAUCCCUGCGUACCUGAGGCCUUCCAAAGAAACAACUACCAUGAUUCACUCCUCACUGUCACGUGGUAGGAAUGACUUCAAUGCCUUUCCAGUUCUGUACAUAUCCUUUGAAGUGAUUGAUGGGGAACCAACUAUACCGUACAGGACUUAGACAAGGACUCAUCCUCAGUGAGCAUACAAGGUUCCUACCAAGCUUCCUGAUCAAUUGGAUCCAUAAUCUGUUGGCCAUCAUGAGGAGCAGGGUGCAGAAUGGAGAUGGACUGAGACAUACUAAAUCCUCCUCUUACUUAUUGUGACCUUUUGAGUCUUUAUGUCUGAAACUGGCAAACAGCAGUCUGAAAUCAGAGACAUUAAACUUCAUUUUAAGACUAUGAAAAUAAUCCACGUCCCAUGGUUAAGAUGAAAUUCAAACAUCGUAACAUGUAGUCCUGCUCUCUAAUUUAAGACCUGGUUCAUUUCAGAACAGAAAUAAAAUAACACCCUCAAGAGCAUACCUAAACAUGGAUAAUAUGACAUCAUCAUGGGUUUUUGUGAGAAUUGAUCAUUUUGCUGUAAAUGAUGCGGAAAGAUCAAUGACUUCCAAGUAAUGCUUUGUAGUGUGAAGAGUUAAGAGAUAAAAUACCUACUUUCUCACAGUAUUUGUUGACUUUUCCGUGAGGACACAUUAAAGAGUAGAAUAUUUCAGUUGAGGAGUGAGACCUUAAUCUGGAGAUCUGCGUGAGAAGCUGUAAUAAUAUGUUGAGUUCUCACUUCCAUUUAAGUUCAUGACGAAACCACAGAAUGCAACAUGACAGCACUGCAGGGGAAAGUAAUCAGCUAUGCUAUGCAGUGGUCAUGAGGCAAAGAAAACGCAGUCUAUGCCAGAUAGACAGCUCUUCCUUACUUGCUGAGAAAUGCAUAGCUGUUCUGUUCGACAACAUCAGCAGGUAUUUUCUAGCAGACUUUUUUUUCUGGUGAUUAUAAUCCAUCAAAGCAAUGAGGUCAUAAUUAGUUGCUAGCAUGAUUAGGACAGAAGUUGUCCUCAAGAGGGAAACUGAAGCAAAAACGAUGGAGUAGUUGCACUAAGAGAAGGAAAAAUACUGGGGAAGUACAUAAUCUAUUCUGCAGUAAAACAAAUGGGUUGGGGUGUGUAGAUCAUGUCGCAGUCCACAAAAGCCAUCACAAAAGACUGUGUCCCUGCCUCCGCUUCCUUUUCAGUUUUGUUCAAUUAUCUAGACUAAAAAAGACCAUUCAAAACAGCAACAGAACUCUGCGUGGUUCAUUUCUUUUCUAAUGUGGGGUGAAUUUCUGAAUGCACUUUCUGCACUGGAAAUGUAGUGUCCGCUUACGCCCUCCCCAUUCUGCUGCCCACCCUUCUGGGUCACGUAUUAGAGAGAUGGUCUCCUGCAUAUAAAGGCUAAGUGAGUUAAUAAAAAA